rnacentral:pre_miRNA from 1 species
CCCAUACUGCUCAUGUUUUCCAUCAAAUCCAUCUAGUACUUUUGCUAAUUAAUUGCUCUCUGUAUUUCUCAAUCACGUAAGAUUUUUUUUUGUGAGAAAUACAGAGAGCAAUUAAUUAGCAAAAGUACUAGAUGGAUUUGAUGGAAAACAUGAGCAGUAUGGG